CCUACGGGCGGCAGCAGUGAGGAAUAUUGGUCAAUGGGCGGGAGCCUGAACCAGCCAAGCCGCGUGAGGGACGACGGUCCUAUGUAUUGUAAACCUCUUUUGUCGGGGAACAAAGGCGUCCACGGGUAGGCGGAUGAGUGUACCCGAAGAAAAAGCAUCGGCUAACUCCGUGCCAGCAGCCGCGGUAAUACGGAGGAUGCGAGCGUUAUCCGGAUUUAUUGGGUUUAAAGGGUGCGUAGUCGGCCAGUCAAGUCAGCGGUAAAAAUGCGGGGCUAAACCCCGUAGAGCCGUUGAAACUGGCAGUCUUGAGUGGGGGAGAAGUAUGCGGAAUGCGUGGUGUAGCGGUGAAAUGCUUAGAUAUCACGCAGAACUCCGAUUGCGAAGGCAGCAUACCGGCGCCUUACUGACGCUGAGGCACGAAAGCGUGGGUAUCGAACAGGAUUAGAUACCCCUGUAGUC
rnacentral:rRNA from 1 species